rnacentral:rRNA from 1 species
CCCCGCUCAAUUGCGCCGCGAAAAACCCUAACCCCAUGUUUUUUUAAUUUGAAACCAUUGCUUUGGUCCGGCUUAGAAAUAGGUUGGGCCCAAGGUUUUAUCCAAACCUCCAUAUUUAUUAUUGAAUUGUUAUUUUUAAUUUUAUGUCAAUUUGUUGAUUAAUAUCAAAAAUCUUCAAACUUUCACCAACGAUCUCUUGGUUCUCGCAUCGAUGAAGAACGCAGCGAAAUGCGAUAAGUAAUAUGAAUUGCAGAUUUUCGUGAAUCAUCCAAUCUUUGAACGCACUUGCGCCCUUUGGUAUUCCAAAGGGCAUGCCUGUUUGAGCGUCAUUUCUCUCUCAAAUCUUCGGAUUUGGUUUUGAGUGAUACUCUUAGUCAGACUAAGCGUUUGCUUGAAAUGUAUUGGCAUGAGUGGUACUAGAUAGUGCUGAACUGUUUUCAAUGUAUUAGGUUUAUCCAACUCAUUGACCAGUAAAGUAUUUGUUUAUUACACAGGCUCGGCCUUACAACAACAAACAAAGUUUGACCUCAAAUCAGGUAGGACUACCCGCUGAACUUA